CGAACGAUGAACCACUUCGGUGGGGAUUAGUGGCGAACGGGUGAGUAACACGUGGGCAAUCUGCCCUUCACUCUGGGACAAGCCCUGGAAACGGGGUCUAAUACCGGAUACGACCUGCCAAGGCAUCUUGGCGGGUGGAAAGCUCCGGCGGUGAAGGAUGAGCCCGCGGCCUAUCAGCUUGUUGGUGAGGUAACGGCUCACCAAGGCGACGACGGGUAGCCGGCCUGAGAGGGCGACCGGCCACACUGGGACUGAGACACGGCCCAGACUCCUACGGGAGGCAGCAGUGGGGAAUAUUGCACAAUGGGCGAAAGCCUGAUGCAGCGACGCCGCGUGAGGGAUGACGGCCUUCGGGUUGUAAACCUCUUUCAGCAGGGAAGAAGCGAAAGUGACGGUACCUGCAGAAGAAGCGCCGGCUAACUACGUGCCAGCAGCCGCGGUAAUACGUAGGGCGCAAGCGUUGUCCGGAAUUAUUGGGCGUAAAGAGCUCGUAGGCGGCUUGUCGCGUCGGUUGUGAAAGCCCGGGGCUUAACCCCGGGUCUGCAGUCGAUACGGGCAGGCUAGAGUUCGGUAGGGGAGAUCGGAAUUCCUGGUGUAGCGGUGAAAUGCGCAGAUAUCAGGAGGAACACCGGUGGCGAAGGCGGAUCUCUGGGCCGAUACUGACGCUGAGGAGCGAAAGCGUGGGGAGCGAACAGGAUUAGAUACCCUGGUAGUCCACGCCGUAAACGGUGGGCACUAGGUGUGGGCAACAUUCCACGUUGUCCGUGCCGCAGCUAACGCAUUAAGUGCCCCGCCUGGGGAGUAC
rnacentral:rRNA from 1 species